CCUACGGGGCGCAGCAGUGAGGAAUAUUGGUCAAUGGACGAGAGUCUGAACCAGCCAAGUAGCGUGAAGGAUGACUGCCCUAUGGGUUGUAAACUUCUUUUAUAUGGGAAUAAAAUGUUCCACGUGUGGGAUUUUGUAUGUACCAUAUGAAUAAGGAUCGGCUAACUCCGUGCCAGCAGCCGCGGUAAUACGGAGGAUCCGAGCGUUAUCCGGAUUUAUUGGGUUUAAAGGGAGCGUAGGUGGAUUGUUAAGUCAGUUGUGAAAGUUUGCGGCUCAACCGUAAAAUUGCAGUUGAAACUGGCAGUCUUGAGUACAGUAGAGGUGGGCGGAAUUCGUGGUGUAGCGGUGAAAUGCUUAGAUAGCACGAAGAACUCCGAUUGCGAAGGCAGUUCACUGGACUGCAACUGACACUGAGGCUCGAAAGUGUGGGUAUCAAACAGGAUUAGAUACCCGUGUAGUC
rnacentral:rRNA from 1 species